UGGGUGCUCUGAAGUGAUGUAGCCUUAGGA
rnacentral:piRNA from 1 species